rnacentral:miRNA from 1 species
AGUGUACUUCCUGGGGCCUCU